GGGAGGCCGAGGCUUGUGGGGUUGCGCUCACGCUCGCACCGGCCGGCCCCCGCCCUGACCGCGAACGCUCAAGGAUGCUGCACGCAGGUUUUUCCUCACGGAAUGAAGUUGAUAAUAGUGAGACCUUGUUGGUACAAGACUCUGUAACAUAACCUGCGCUUCUCAACAAAGAAUUGCUUUUCUGACUUCUGCACUCAAUAGCAAGACAAAUCUCUCCUCUGUCUUUUUCUUAUCAGACUACUCAACAUGAAGGCAAUAAGAAUGAAGACCUUUAUGUAUAAUAAUUGACUUCCACUUAAUAAAUAAGGUUACUUGGUACACUGGUCGACAAAACCUUGAAAUGUUGAUGUUUAAGGGCUGUUGAUUGCUGGCAACAAAGAAGUCCAACUGUGCUGGUACCCGAGAUAGCGUCUCCACAUUUUCUUCCAGGAUCAUCACCUUUGUUGUAAAUAGCUCCCACAUAGUGUGAACAGAAGUCAUAUGUUUUAGAUUUUCUGCCUUGGCACCCAGG
rnacentral:lncRNA from 1 species